UACGUAGGGUCCGAGCGUUGUCCGGAAUUAUUGGGCGUAAAGGGCUCGUAGGCGGUCCGUCACGUCGGGAGUGAAAACUCAGGGCUCAACCCUGAGCGUGCUUCCGAUACGGGCGGACUAGAGGUAUGCAGGGGAGAACGGAAUUCCUGGUGUAGCGGUGGAAUGCGCAGAUAUCAGGAGGAACACCGGUGGCGAAGGCAGGUCUCUGGGCAUUAACUGACGCUGAGGAGCGAAAGCAUGGGGAGCGAACAGG
rnacentral:rRNA from 1 species